UAUACAUUUAAAAAUCCUCUUCCUUUCGUUCGGAGGUCAACAGCGUGAUGAAAGGCCGACAACAGCUUGAUGAUGAUGGUGCUCAUUAACAAAUCGACGCCCCUUAAGGCACAGUGAAGAGGCAGCUGCUGCCGUUGCUGCCGUUGCCUGAUGUAAUUAAACUCAACUGAGAUUCUGUAGUCAGUCAGAGUGGAAAGUUGCUCAUUGGACAGUUAGCCACAGGACUGGGAAAUAGAAGCACUUUUGUGAACUUUUCAUGAGUGUCCAGACAGAGCCUAUCCCACAUGUUGCCUCUAACUUUACAUGCUGCGUCUACAAUAAAUAAGCUUAGUGUGCAAGAGUGACUUGGCAACGCAAACAAAGCCAACAAAGAGAAACACCAAUGCUCACUUCAGCCAGAAGGAAGCUAAUGGAAAUGAAUGGGUUUGAGUGUGUGUGUGUGUGUGUGUGUGUGUGUGUGUGUGUGUGUGUGUGUGUGUGUGUGUGUGUGUGACAGACAGAUAGAGAUAGAUAGAUCCAAUGAGAGAGUGAGUAUUUUCUGUUGCCUGAACAUCACAGGGGCCAAAACUAAAAUGUAAAAUAUUAAUAUAAAAAUCCGUCAUCACUUCAGAAUUAUAUUAUUUUCAUGUGCUAUAAAAUUGACCAUAACACUUAUAGACCUGUAACAUUAAAAAAGCACAAACACACAAUCAAAUAAAAAUGAUUUCCUUUAUCCAUGGUGUUGGGUUUGACAUCUCUAGGGUUUGGCCCCAAGUUCUGAAAUUCUUUAUUAUUCAAAACCUGACAUUGAUCAACACUCAAGAAACCUGAGACUUGGAAAUGAUUCUGGCUGCAAGGUUUAUUUUAACACACGACAUUCUUUAUACAACAAUCGUGGUGGAAAACAAUGUGCUGUUCCCUCCAUGUUGGGAAUAAGAUACUGCCUCAAACACAGGGUUGAGGGGGAGUUAUAUUGAGCCUUGUGUAAAAUGGAGUGAGGGAUUGACAGACAGAUCAGUGCAGCAUCAGCAUUUAGGUGGACAUCUGCUCUACAUCUCAACCCUGACCAAUGGUCACAAGCUUUGGUGGAUGACCGAAAGAGCGAAGUCGAGGACACGAGUGGCGAAAUUAGAUUCCUUUGCAGGUGGUCUGGACUCUGAUAUAGAGAUAAGGUGAGGAGC